rnacentral:rRNA from 1 species
UACGUAGGGUGCAAGCGUUGUCCGGAAUUAUUGGGUGUACGGUAAAGAGCUUGUAGGCGGUUUGUCGCGUCAUGCGUGUGAAAUUUCGGGGCUCAACCCCGAACUUGACAGGUGGGUACGGGCAGACUGAGAGUGUGGUAGGGGAGACGUGGAAAUUCCUGGUGGUAGCGGUGGAAAAUGCGCAGAUAUCAGGAGGAACACCGA